CGCAAGCGAGGUGGACGAGACGAAGCGGCGCUGGGAUACUUAAGGCGAUGUGCUGCUGCCUGGGCCAUGUUACUCCGUGUUACUUCGGCCGGAGCAGACUAACCUAGCACCUCAUCGGCUAAGGAAACAAGGGAAGCCAAGAUGCGUUCUGCCACCCUCACCCUCGCCUUCGUCCUAACUUCCUGCGUCGCCCUCCUGCACGCGGCCCCAUCCUCCUCCUCCUCCUCCUCCUCCUGCGACCUCCCCGAAUGUAGGAUCAUCGCAGGGCAGGAGAUUCGGUGCAAAAACCUCAACAACUGGCAUGAGUACUACCGCCACCCCGCGAACAAGCACCUCUACGUCCAGUGCACCACCAGUGGGCCGGCCGUGAUGAGCUGCGCGCCCGGUACAGCCUGGAGCCCGGUCAGCGGCGUGUGCGUGCAUGAGGACCUUGUGCCCGACUGUGAGGCCACCACUGCCUAAGGACCCGAGAAGAGAGAAAUGAGAGCGCCUCCUGGUACUCAUAAGACCUCCCUCUCCCACUCCCCAUCCUCAUCUUCCUCCUCUUCCUCCUCCUCCUCCUCCUCCCUUUAACUUAACAGGUCGCCGCCUCUAAGCCCCCCUGUCGCUGUUGCUGUCGCCGAGAAGAAAACAAGAGACCGGGAGCAACACGUAUUGUCUGUACAGGCAGCGCUACAUGUGGCCACUCAACUCUAAGCUGUAUUUUCCAUAGAGUUCAAGUUAUGGACUAGAGUGCGUCAGAGGCUGUCUCAGGGAUACACAGCCAUGAUGUCGCCAUCGCCCCAAGCCGAUGACUGCACACACUUCACUCCUACCCGAUUUCAGUUUUUCUCCAUGUCAAAUAGUAGAGUCAGGAAAUCGGGUAGGAGUAAAGUGCGUGCAGGCGUUGGCUUGGAGCGGUGGCGGCACCAAGGCCUUGUAUCCUGGAGGCAGCCUCAGACGCACUCUAGUACAUAACAUGAGUUCUAUGGAAAGUACUGCUUUGACAGUAAUGAACACGAAGGACACGGAUGUUAUGGGCGCACGUGCGAGAAGCAGUUUGAAAUAUAACAAUAGGGAUAGGAAGGAAGGAAGGGAAGGAAGGAAGGAAGGAAAAUUAAGAAGGAUAAUAACGAGGUCGAAUAAAAUUGUGGAAGACAAUAUCAGUGUUUUCUUCUUAUUCUUUUCUUUACCUAAUCCUUUUAUUUCUCUUCUUACAGGGGUCAUGAUGCUGAUGAUGAGUAUAAGAUAGAUAAAGUAUGUGAGGAAGAGGAAGAAGAUUAAGAGGAGGAGGAGGAGGAGGAGGAGGAAGAGGAGGAGGAGGAGGAGGAGGAGGAGGAGGAGGAGGAGGAAUACAUAGGAAUACAUAGGAAGAACAGACACCAGAAGACAUGGCGGUCAAUGGCGAGGGUGUCUGUUUACUACCGCUACUACUAGUAAUCCACGCGCGGUAGGACAGGACAGAAUAGAUGAAGUGGGAUGAUUGGCACCCUUUCCCUCCCUUCCCUCCCUUCCCUUCCCAUUCCCACCUCCUUAUGGCUCCCUCCAUCCUCCUAUUCCUCCUCCAUUUCUUCCCCUCCCUUUCUUCUUCCUUCUAGCUCCCUGUCACCCUACCCAGACCUUUCCCUCUCUUCCUUCCUCAUUAUCCUUCCCUUCCACUCUCCUCCAUCUUCUUUCCUUCUCCUCCUUCUCCUUUCCAUUUUCACCUUCUUUUUCUUUCCUUUGCUCUCUCUCUUUCCCUGUGGUUCCUGUCUCUCCUUUCUUUCUUCUCCUUUCUCCUUCCCCCCAUUCUCUUCCCUGCUCUUCCUCCUUCUCCUUUUCUCAUUUUUUUUCUCUCUAUUUCUUUUUCUUAAUGCAAUAACACUGAGUCACUUCUUCCAGGUCUUUCCUUCUUCUUCUCUUCUUCUGCCUUUUUUUCUUCCAUGUAUAUUCUAUCUUUCUUCUUUCCUCUCCUUCCUUCUUCUUUCCUCUUAUUUCCUCCCCUUUCCUCUUUUCCUUGCUACCAUAACACCUAGCCACUUCAUUUAAUACUCCUUCUUUCCUUCUUCUUCCAUCUCUUCCUCGCUUUAAUUCCUAUCCGUUUUCUCUUCCUUCGCUUCCUUUAUAUUCUCCUCUCACCUUCGCUUUUCCUCUUCUUUCCUCCCUUCCUUAUAACAGUAAGGCCAUGUCACUUCUUCCAGCUUUUCUUUCCUCCCUCCCUCCUCUUUCCUCGUUCCUUCUAUGUAUCCCCUUCGUUUUCCUUCAAUUCCUAUCCCUCAUAUGUUCCUUCCCUUCACAAUCUUUACCUAUGACGCCUUAAAUCUCUCCCACAUCGCCUCCUCCUCUUCUAUCUCGUCUUAGGUUACCCACGUAAUACUACGCAGUCAAGCAAUGGUAGGUCGGAGGAGAGGCAAGAAACAAGGCAUUCCCGUCGUCGUGUUAUCAGGAGAUGCAGCUUGGUUAUACCCAAAAUGUAUUAAGAAAUUGGUUUUACUGUGUUGACGCAAGCGAGGUGGACGAGACGUAGAAGCGCUGGGAUACUUAAGGCGAUGUGCUGCUGCCUGGGACAUGUUACUCCGGGUGACUUCGGCCGGAGCAGACUAACCUAGCGCCUCAUCAGCUAAGGAAACAAGGGAAGAUGCGUGCUGCCACCUUCACCCUCGCCCUCGUCUUGACUUCCUGCGUCGCCCUCCUGCACGCGUCCCCACACUCCUAUUCUUCUUCCUCCUGCUACCCUCCCGUAUGCAGGAUCAUCGAGGGGCAGGAGUUUCGGUGCAAGGACAUCAACAACUGGCAUGAGUAUUAUUACCCCACUAACAAGCACCUCUACGUCCAGUGCACCGGCAGUGGGCCAAUGGUGAGGAGGUGCGCGCCCGGUACAGCCUGGGGCUCGGACACCUUCGUGAACUGGAAUGGGGAACGCCUGCCCGACUGUGAGCGCACCUCCCUCUCCACCUCCUCCUGUUCCUCCUCCUUCUCCUCUUCCUCCUCCUCCCUUUAAGUUAACAGGUCGCCGCCUCUAAGCCCCCCCCUGUCGCUGUUGCUGUCGCCGAGAAGAAAACGAGAGACCGGGAGCAACACGACAGCCAGGACCAUUGCUGCCCCUGCCCCGACGACCCAUCUUAAUUUCCCGACGCGGCGCCGUGUUGCGAAAGAAUUAAGAGAAAGUAAUGAACACGGAGGACACGGAUGUUAUGGGCGCACGUGUGAUGGGGAGGAGGUGGGGGGAAGGAUGUAGUGAGUGUGUGUGUGUGUUUGAAGGGGGGUAGGGGUGUGUGUAUACAAGCAUGACUAUAAUAAUAACAACAGUGGAAUAAAAGGGAAGCGACAACUAGAAGAAUUUUAACAAGAAAUAUGAGAACGUUAAGAACUAUUAUUAACAAAAGCAUGUGAGUCUCUAGCAACAACAACAAAGACAGAAAGAAGGACAGUAAACAACUUAUAAAUACGAACGGCAAAAGAAAAGAAAAAAACCCAGCCCAAAAAACAAAGGAGCAUCGAGCAUAAAACAAAAGAAAACAAGGGGAAAUAUUGUCGGGAAAAUACUAGAGAGAAACUAAGAAAUGUAAGAAAUGAUUAGAUUUUAUAACCAAUAGCGAGAAGCAGUUUAAAAUAUAACAAUGAAACUAAUCUAACAAAGGAAACAAUAAGGAAAGGAAGGAAGGGAAGGAAAGGAAGGAUUAAGGAGGGAAGGAAGGAAGGAAGAAAAUUAUAAAGUAUAACAAUGGAGGUCGAAUAAAAUUGAGCAAGACUA